rnacentral:rRNA from 1 species
AUUGAACGCUGGCGGCAGGCCUAACACAUGCAAGUCGAGCGAGCGGCGGACGGGUGAGUAAUGUCUGGGGAACUGCCCGAUGGAGGGGGAUAACUACUGGAAACGGUAGCUAAUACCGCAUACCAUCAGAUGUGCCCAUAUGGGAUUAGCUAGUAGGUGGGGUAAUGGCUCACCUAGGCGACGAUCCCUAGCUGGUCUUAGAGGAUGAUCAGCCACACUGGAACUGAGACACGGCCCAGACUGCUACGGGAGGCAGCAGUGGGGAAUAUUGCACAAUGGGCGCAAGCCUGAUGCAGCCAUGCCGCGUGUGUGAAGAAGGCCUUAGGGUUGUAAAGCACUUUCAGCGGGGAGGCGUUACCGACAGAAGAAGCACCGGCUAACUCCGUGCCAGCAGCCGCGGUAAUUC